ACUCAAAUGAAUUGACGGGGACUUGCACAAGCGGUGGAUCAUGCGGCUCAAUUCGAUGACAAACGAAGAACCUCACCAGGGUUUGAAACCCAGACGAUUGCUUAUGGAAACAUAGGCGUCCGCAAGGCGGCUGGGCAGGUGAUGCAUGGUCGUCGUCAGUUCGUGGCUUGAGUUGUUCCCUUCAGUGGGGUAACGAACGCAACCCGCGUUGCCUGUUUUAUAUGUCAGGCGAGACUGCCCUCUCACGAGGGAGGAAGGUGCGGAUGACGCCAGAUCAGCAUGUCCCUCUGAUAUCCUGGGCUGCACGCAUGAUACAAUGCAUUCGACAACGAGACGCAAUGGAGUAAUCCGGAGCAAAUCUUGAAACGAGUGCUCAGUUCGGAUUGAGGUCUGCAACUCGACCUCAUGAAGCCGGAAUCGCUAGUAAUCGCGGGUCAGCUAUACCGCGGUGAAUACGUUCUCAAGUCUUGUACACACCGCCCGU
rnacentral:rRNA from 1 species